GACGAACGCUGGCGGCGUGCUUAACACAUGCAAGUCGAACGGAAAGGCCCUGCUUUUGUGGGGUUCUCGAUUGGCGAACGGGUGAGUAACACGUGAGUAACCUGCCCUUGUCUUUGGGAUAACUUCAGGAAACUGGGGCUAAUACCGGAUAGGAUCUCCUGCUCCAUGGUGGGCGUUGGAAAGUUUCGGCGGUUGGGGAUGGACUCGCGGCUUAUCAGCUUGUUGGUGGGGUAGUGGCUUACCAAGGCUUUGACGGGUAGCCGGCCUGAGAGGGUGACCGGCCACAUGGGGACUGAGGUACGGCCCAGAGUGCUACGGGAGGCAGCAGUGGGGAAUAUUGCACAAUGGGCGGGAGCCUGAUGCAGAAACGCCGCGUGCGGGAUGACGGCCUUCGGGUUGUAAACCGCUUUCGCCUGUGACGAAGCGUGAGUGACGGUAAUGGGUAAAGAAGCACCGGCUAACUACGUG
rnacentral:rRNA from 1 species